rnacentral:rRNA from 1 species
UGGGGAAUAUUGCACAAUGGGGGAAACCCUGAUGCAGCAACGCCGCGUGAGUGAUGACGGUCUUCGGAUUGUAAAGCUCUGUCUUCAGGGACGAUAAUGACGGUACCUGAGGAAGAAGCCACGGCUAACUACGUGCCAGCAGCCGCGGUAAUACGUAGGUGGCAAGCGUUGUCCGGAUUUACUGGGCGUAAAGGGAGCGUAGGCGGAUUUUUAAGUGGGAUGUGAAAUACCCGGGCUUAACCUGGGUGCUGCAUUCCAAACUGGAAGUCUAGAGUACAGGAGGGGAAAGCGGAAUUCCUAGUGUAGCGGUGAAAUGCGUAGAGAUUAGGAAGAACACCAGUGGCGAAGGCGGCUUUCUGGACUGUAACUGACGCUGAGGCUCGAAAGCGUGGGGAGCGAACA